GGGGAACAUUUUUUUUUGGGGAGAAAAGAUAUAGAAAGUUAGCCGAGCUUCACUCACAAAGGCAUAGUUUACAGAAGUCUCUCUGGGUGUGCUGUUGGAACUCUUGAAGUUUUGUGUGUGGUGGUGGAAGCUCUCACGGCUAACCUGUUCCUGUCUCAGUACGCUGCACCGAAAAAGGUGAAAUUUCUCUCUGAUUCUAACUCAUUUUAGCUAGUCUUGGUUCGUAUAUGCAAGCAUUUUUAUCGACGCCUCGUCUCUCUUUGUGAAGCUACCGUCUCUUUGUUAUGUUUAUUACUGAUGUUUUAAGAGUGGGUCAACGUUGCAUGGGUUGAUGUAUUUUGCUUAUCAAGAUAUAAAAUGUAUUUUUUUUUUGUAUGAUCUAAGCCUGGAGCUCCUUUGAUUAAGAGCUUGUUGUGUUUUAUUUUUUCUUUAUUUUUUAUUUUGUUGUUUUUUUUUUACUUUUUAUUUUAUUUUCGCAUAUCCUCAAGUUUGUCGAAUGGAUUAGGGGGUCUGUCGGUUUCAGCUUUAUGAAUGUCAUUGUGGUAUGUCGUCAUUUCGGUGCUUUGCUUCUUUAGAAUGUUUCGGAAAUGUAGUCCGACUUUUUUUGAUCUUGUAUAAGCUUAAUGGAGCUUUGUUUCCUAUUAUCUUGAGUUUCAAUCUUAGUUGCCUGUACUUUCUUGCUGUCCAUAGUAUUAAAAAAAAAUGAGUUGAUUUUAUAAGAUUGGUCUGAUGUGUUUCUGUUUCCCUAAAAUGAUUUGGGUACUUUGAGUUUUUUUAUGACUAGAGUUUAAGAAUAGUCAUGCUUCUUUUGAGAUUUGCAUAAAUUAGAUGUUAUUCCUCUGUCUUGAUAGUCUAAUUGCCUAUAUGUAACCAUAUUUCUAGCACUUCAUCUUAUCAUAUGAGAGUCAAUAUAGGAGAAAGAUUUAUUGGAUAUUGUGUGCUUUCCUUCGUCACCUUUGCAUAGUAUUAGUAUAGUGAACUAAUCAAUCAUGUGUUUCACCUUAUUAUUAUUAUUUUUUAUGCCUUAGUGAUAUACUUAUAUUGUAAAACUUUAAAGUAUGAUUCAUUUCUAAUUUCUAUCUUGUUUUAUUCUUUUUCUAUGCAUGAGCUACCUCUUUCCGAGUCUUUGGAGGCUCCCUCCCUUUGCGUUUCGUGGAUUGGGCUUCAUAGGCCCAAUUCUAUGUUUUCCUAUCGAGUCCAAAAAUAGCCGACGAACAGGUUACGGGAAGUACAUGGGCUGGAAGUGAAUUUUCGAUGUCCGAAAAGGCUGAAAAGGGACUGUAUACCUACUGUAUACAGCCUUUAUACACUAAUAUACGGGUCUAGUUCAACAAAUACGGGUUUAAAAAUGGAAAUACAGGUUGCAGGGGUCAAAAUGGAUUGUAUACAUUUGGUAUAUGGUUCAAAAUACAGGAAAUGAGGCUGAUAUACGAGUCGUAUGCACUGAUAUACGACUUGCGUAUACAAAAACGGGAACUGAUUUAAAAUCAGCAGCUUUGGCCCAAAUUUGAUUACGUCCUUUCCCUCUCUUAUUUAUUUUAUUGUAUUUGACUAAUACUUUGAUCAUCUUAUGGUUCAAUUUAAUUAAAUUCCCCCAAGAAUGGUCAUUUC
rnacentral:lncRNA from 1 species